CCAAAAACUCAAGUAUAUUAUAUGGUAAGUGUCCGUGCAUUCGCGCGGGUGAUCAUACUAAUUAUAAUCUUACAGGAGUAAAGACGCUAUAACAAUAUACAAUCAAGCCAAAACCAAUAUUAUUGAAGUGCAGUAAGCCAUAAAAUUGGGAAAUGACAGGAAAACAAGGUUGUGGAAAGAGAUAUGGCUGGAAAAGAACACAUUCAUGGAGUUAUAUCCCCUGAUUUGCAUCACAUUGCUGUAAACACUGAACUACAAUCAAAUCCCAACGGGGACAAAAACACUAGGUGAUUUCUUCCCAUCUAAUCUGUCCAAGCCUUGGCGGACAGAGUUAACUACUGAAAUACAAUCAAAUCCCAACGGAGAAAAAAUACUAGGUGACUUCUUCCUAUCUGUUCAAGCCUUGAUGGACAGAGUUAACCGGUAGCAGGCACUCGUGGAAUUAGCCGAGGUGUGAGCUAGCCCGGACAUUAU
rnacentral:lncRNA from 1 species